AUUGUUGGUUUCAUUCGAUAAACAAAAAAAAAAGCAUGAGGUUGCGGCAAUACAAAUGGAUGUCAUAUACAUUCAAUGCCCCCUCUAUUUUUAAAAAGUUCGUUCAUCACCCUAAUCGAUCUCGAUCUCGAUCUCGAUUAGGGUUUUUUGUUGUGGAGAUGGAUGAGGACGAAGUUUAGAAAAAGGAAUCUGGGCGUUUUGCUCGAAGUUGGGGUUGAGGUGAGGAAAUUUUCGAUCUUGUGAGGUUAGGGUUUUCGAUCUCGCAGGUUUUGGGCUUGGGAAGAAUUUGGCCGGUGGUGGAGGAUCACGGCAUUGAUGAGGCGGUGCCCUAGAGUUGCGUUUUCCCCCGCAGGGCUUUUUUUUUUUGGGGCAAGGUUUGUCGUGUACUGGUACAAGUGGGAAAUUUUCAUGAAGUACAACCAUUCAUGCCAAGGUUUUAAGUUCCCUGCACCUACAUUGACUAAUGGAACGAUGUAGAAAUCUAGAUCGGAUUUCGGAGAUGGACAUUGCUGCACAGGUUGGAGAGUGAUGUGCCCAAAUCGAAUGAUUGCUAAACUAAGGUAAAGUCGUGGGCAUAUGCUUAUACGGCUUGUAUAAGGUACACGUUUUUCAAUUUUCUUAGCCCGUUUCAUUAUAGUUAUAAUAUUCUUCUACAGCUUCAUACUUUCUUCAACUCCAUUUUCAUAUUCUUGUUAAUUGUUUUGAGACCUCCUCAAGGUUUGAUUAGGAACUAGUUUACGCCCAUCAUUAUUUUCUGAUUAUACAUCCCCUGUCAAAUAUGAUACUAUGAUAGUAUAUUUGUAUAUGGUACUGCUUAAUCAGUGCAGCUAGGUAAUGGGAGGGAGGGGUGCUGAUCAUUUAAAGUAGGUAGCUGCGAGUCUUUUGAGUUAUAAUAUGUGGUUGAUCUGGUUAGGCUGCAUUUUUUUUCUUCAACUGGUCCAUGGCUGUCGAACCGAAUGCGAUUUAGUUUUAAUUGUUCAAGUUGGCUGCUACUGUUGCAAUAAUAAUUUCUGUUUUCACAAGCUUAAUUUGUGUUCUUGCUAUGUUAAGUUCAUGUCCGAAAGGGCUUGAAAUUGCAGUUGCGAUGAUGACACAAGGAGGAAAGGUUGUAGUUUUGUUAGUGGAAGCUACCUGGCAGUACAAUUAAUGCGGUUACCAAGACGGGUAAUGUACAUAACUAACUAAAUUAAAUGGCCAUGUGCUGAACAUGUUUUGUUAAGUUUUAAAUAUCAGCUAAUUGAAUUUCCAAGACGGUCAAAUUUGACAGACACGAUUCUAUUUUGCAUAUUCUAGUUCUUUUUUUGACAGUAAAUUUGUAUUUGAUGAGUAAUUGAUUCUGGGCGGCUAGGUAGAAGGAAUGAGUGAUAAAUAUGAUGAGUAAUUGACUUUGAGCA